rnacentral:rRNA from 1 species
GAUGAACGCUAGCGGCAGGCUUAAUACAUGCAAGUCGAGGGGCAUCAAGGUACACGAAAGUGUAUUGUUGGCGACCGGCGGACGGGUGAGUAAUAGGUAGGUAACCUACCUCAUACUGAGGCAUAGCUGGGAGAAAUUCCAGGUAAUUCCUCAUGAGGUUAUAUGACACAUGUGAUAUAAUCAAAGGUAUCGCAAGGUACUGGUAUGAGAUGGGCUUACUGACCAUUAGCUAGUUGGUGAGAUAAGAGCUCGCCAAGGCGAAGAUGGUUAGGGGUUUGAGAGAGAGAUCCCCCAAUUGGAACUGAGAUACGGUCCAGACUCCUACGGGAGGCAGCAGUAGGGAAUAUUGGGCAAUGGGCGGAAGCCUGACCCAGCCAUGCCGCGUGAAGGAAGACGGCCUUAUGGGUUGUAAACUUCUUUACUAUGCGACUAACUAGAUUUACGAGAUAAUUCUAUAGAAUGUAGCAUAGACAAAAAGCAACCC